rnacentral:rRNA from 1 species
GGGUAAANNGUAAAAUUGGAAGACCCCCCGGGGGGAGGGGGNUUUUUGUUUUUAACGACCUUAGGUUNGAAAGUAUGGUNNCAANCAGGAUUGAUCCCGGUAGUCCAUCCGUAACGAUGAAUSUAAGUGUUGGAGGGUUYCCGCCCUUCAGUGCUGCAGCUAACGCAUUAAGCAUUCCGCCUGGGGAGUACGGMMGCAAGGCUGAAACUCAAAGGAAUUGACGGGGGCCCGCACAAGCGGUGGAGCAUGUGGUUUAAUUCGAAGCUACGCGAAGAACCUUACCAGGUCUUGACAUACUAUGCAAAUCUAAGAGAUUAGACGUUCCCUUCGGGGACAUGGAUACAGGUGGUGCAUGGUUGUCGUCAGCUCGUGUCGUGAGAUGUUGGGUUAAGUCCCGCAACGAGCGCAACCCUUAUUAUNNNCAGNUUGCCAGCAUUAAGUUGGGCUNNMCUCUCKGUGAGACUGCCGGUGACAAACCGGAGGAMGGUGGRGRUGVCGUCAAMKCAUCAUKCCCCUUAURACCUGGGCUAMACACGUGCUACMAUGGAUGGUAMAACGAGUUGCGAACUCGCGAGAGUAAGCUAAUCUCUUAAAGYCAUUCYCAGUUCGGAUUGUAGGCUGCAACUCGCCUACAUGAAGUCGGAAUCGCUAGUAAUCGCGGAUCAGCAUGCCGCGGUGAAUACGUUCCCGGGCCUUGUACACACCGCCCGUCACACCAUGAGAGUUUGUAACACCCAAAGUCGGUGGGGUAACCUUUUAGGAACCAGCCGCCUAAGGUGGGACAGAUGAUUAGGGUGAAGUCGUAAACAAG